GAUGAACGCUGGCGGCGUGCCUAAUACAUGCAAGUCGAGCGAACGGACGAGAAGCUUGCUUCUCUGAUGUUAGCGGCGGACGGGUGAGUAACACGUGGAUAACCUACCUAUAAGACUGGGAUAACUUCGGGAAACCGUAGCUAAUACCGGAUAAUAUUUUGAACCGCAUGGUUCAAAAGUGAAAGGCGGUCUUGCUGUCACUUAUAGAUGGAUCCGCGCUGCAUUAGCUAGUUGGUAAGGUAACGGCUUACCAAGGCAACGAUGCAUAGCCGACCUGAGAGGGUGAUCGGCCACACUGGAACUGAGACACGGUCCAGACUCCUACGGGAGGCAGCAGUAGGGAAUCUUCCGCAAUGGGCGAAAGCCCGACGGAGCAACGCCGCGUGAGUGAUGAAGGUCUUCGGAUCGUAAAACUCUGUUAUUAGGGAAGAACAUAUGUGUAAGUAACUGUGCACAUCUUGACGGUACCUAAUCAGAAAGCCACGGCUAACUACGUG
rnacentral:rRNA from 1 species